AUACUUACCUGGUAGGGGCAAUACCAUGAUCAUGAAGGUCGUUUUCCCAGGGUGAGGCUUAUCCAUUGUACUCUGGAGGUACAGACCCCUGUGAUUUCCCCAAAUGUGGGAAACUUGACUGUAUAAUUUGUGGUAAUGGGGGCUGUGUUCGUGCUUUCCCCUG
ensembl:snRNA U1 U1 spliceosomal RNA